AUAUUUUGAUCAUAAUAAUAGAAAAAUUAUUUGUUUGUUUGUGUAUCAAAUAUUUAAACUGGAAAAUUAAGUUCCUAAAUGCCCAAGUCAGCCUCAUUCUGAUUUUUCAGCUGUAUCCAGAAAUGCUGGAAAAAGGAUUUGACCAGAAUUUGCAGUUCACAGAACUCUUCAUCUCGGCGUAUAAAGGAAGUGUAAUAAAACGGAUUUGUUCAGUUCCAAGCACAUUGGUCAAAUGCAUGUUGAUGAAGAUUUUGCAUUUUCAAACAUUCCUUUGAGUUUUCUGGUUCUUAACCCAUCUUCUUAAAGUACUGCAGGUGAAAUUAAUCUAAUUGUUGUUCCCUGUUGUGUGGUUUGACAGCUCUUGAUAACCAAAGGUUUUUAUUAGUUCAGAGCCAUAUCCUUGAUGGAGAAUCCCAGGAGACCACCUCAGCAAACUCUGGAAGUUGUAGGAAUGAACCUCCACAUUUUUCGGUGCUGGCAAAUGGGGAGAAGUUUCUAAAGGAAGAAGAGGAAUAAAAGCAAUUAUUGAAACAUUCAAGUGCACGGUAACCAAAUUUUGCUCUCCAAAUGCCAUCACCAUAUAUUAAAUUUUCACUGCUUUGCAGGAAAAACUGAAAUACCAGGAAAUCCUUAACAGAGAGAGACAGAGGCUGUGGCUGUUUCUUCAGUGAUGUUGAACCAUCCCAGCACCACAGUUAAGUGCAAAAUUCCUGUCAUUGGUGGUUAGACCUCAAUAAAAGCAACAACACAUGGUGUGCUUAGUGUCAGAGAACUAAAGAAACUUGGG